CGGGGGCGUAGCCCGCCGAGGCGCCCGCGCGGCGGUGCUGGCGGUCGGCAGCGGCGCAGGAUGGGACGGGACGGGACGRAGCGCGGCGCAGAUAAGGCCACCUGAGUGUGCUGGCAAGAUAUAGAUCAGCUGUCUUCUCAAACGGGUGAACAGGAAGGAUAUUCUCUCCUCCCUUUUUUUUUUUUUAAUGGUAAUAUCAGCUGGGACUCUUGUUGGACCAGACAACAACUUCUAAAGCAGCAGUGAGACAUGACUUUGGCAACAGCGAGAUAUGCAAAGCAGAGUCUGAGCUAGUAAAUCGGCCAGGUAGAGCGAAGAAGCUGUAGGAUGCAACAGGCGCCUUUCUUGUGUUGGAAACUGGAAUAG
rnacentral:lncRNA from 1 species